rnacentral:sRNA from 1 species
UAAGCUUGAAGAUUGAUGACGAGCUCCUA